UUUGCUCCCUUGGAGACCCACUAUGUUCUUCUACAGUGCCGAUCGACUCGUACUUGGUCCUGGCUCAAUAUUUCGAAGUUGGUGGUAUCAGCUACCUUAAUGACCCUGCAGUGCUUGGAUUUCUUUUAUGCUGUCCAUAAGUCUGUUGUUGGAGAUGAUGUAUAUGGUGUAGAUUUUCUUGCUCCUGCCAUUAUAUUCUUCUCAGUGUUUCUGCAGUUGAUAUUUAUAGUAAUGGAAAAGAAACGAGGAAUUCAAAGCUCGGGGUAUCUCUUCCUCUUCUGGCUGCUGCUGCUUAUCUUU